rnacentral:ncRNA from 2 species
GGUGUUGCAAUGGGGAGCCAUUAGGCUGAGAGGUUAUUAAGUUAACGACCCAAGAACCUGAUCUAGGUAAUGCUAGCGUAGGUAUUGGUUACAUUAUUAUU